rnacentral:tRNA from 1 species
GGGCGAUUAGCUCAGCUGGUCAGAGCGCCACGUUUACACCGUGGAAGUCGCAGGUUCGAGCCCUGCAUCGCCCA